CGAACGGGUGAGUAACACGUGGGCAAUCUGCCCUGCACUCUGGGACAAGCCCUGGAAACGGGGUCUAAUACCGGAUAUGACCGUCUUGGGCAUCCUUGACGGUGUAAAGCUCCGGCGGUGCAGGAUGAGCCCGCGGCCUAUCAGCUUGUUGGUGAGGUAGUGGCUCACCAAGGCGACGACGGGUAGCCGGCCUGAGAGGGCGACCGGCCACACUGGGACUGAGACACGGCCCAGACUCCUACGGGAGGCAGCAGUGGGGAAUAUUGCACAAUGGGCGAAAGCCUGAUGCAGCGACGCCGCGUGAGGGAUGACGGCCUUCGGGUUGUAAACCUCUUUCAGCAGGGAAGAAGCGAGAGUGACGGUACCUG
rnacentral:rRNA from 3 species